CAGCGCCGCGGUAAUACGGAGGGUGCAAGCGUUAAUCGGAAUUACUGGGCGUAAAGCGCACGCAGGCGGUCUGACAAGUCAGAUGUGAAAUCCCCGGGCUUAACCUGGGAACUGCAUUUGAAACUGUCAGGCUGGAGUCUUGUAGAGGGGGGUGGAAUUCCAGGUGUAGCGGUGAAAUGCGUAGAGAUCUGGAGGAAUACCGGUGGCGAAGGCGGCCCCCUGGACAAAGACUGACGCUCAGGUGCGAAAGCGUGGGGAGCAAACAGGAUUAGAUACCCCGGUAGUCCCUGUCUCUUAUACA
rnacentral:rRNA from 1 species